rnacentral:rRNA from 1 species
UACGGGGGGGGCUAGCGUUGUUCGGAAUUACUGGGCGUAAAGGGCGCGUAGGCGGUCUAGUAAGUUGGAUGUGAAAACUCUGGGCUUAACCCAGAGUCUGCAUUCAAAACUGAUAGGCUAGAGUUCUGGAGGGGAUAGCGGAAUUCCUGGUGUAGCGGUGAAAUGCGUAGAUAUGAUGUAGAACACCGAUUGCGAAGGCAGCUCACUAAGCUGGUAAUUGACGCUGAGGCACGAAAGCGUGGGUAGCGAACAGG